rnacentral:rRNA from 1 species
UACGUAGGGUGCGAGCGUUAAUCGGAAUUACUGGGCGUAAAGCGUGCGCAGGCGGUUCGUCGUGUCCGAUGUGAAAAGCCCCGGGCUCAACCUGGGAAUGGCAUUGGAAACUGGCGGACUCGAGUGUGGCAGAGGGGGGUGGAAUUCCGCGUGUAGCAGUGAAAUGCGUAGAGAUGCGGAGGAACACCGAUGGCGAAGGCAGCCCCCUGGGCUAACACUGACGCUCGAGGCACGAAAGCGUGGGGAGCAAACAGG